rnacentral:rRNA from 1 species
GAGUUUGAUCGUGGCUCAGAUUGAACGCUGGCGGCAGGCCUAACACAUGCAAGUCGAGCGGAUGACGGGAGCUUGCUCCUUGAUUCAGCGGCGGACGGGUGAGUAAUGCCUAGGAAUCUGCCUGGUAGCGGGGGACAACGUUUCGAAAGGAACGCUAAUACCGCAUACGUCCUACGGGAGAAAGCAGGGGACCUUCGGGCCUUGCGCUAUCAGAUGAGCCUAGGUCGGAUUAGCUAGUUGGUGGGGUAAUGGCUCACCAAGGCGACGAUCCGUAACUGGUCUGAGAGGAUGAUCAGUCACACUGGAACUGAGACACGGUCCAGACUCCUACGGGAGGCAGCAGUGGGGAAUAUUGGACAAUGGGCGAAAGCCUGAUCCAGCCAUGCCGCGUGUGUGAAGAAGGUCUUCGGAUUGUAAAGCACUUUAAGUUGGGAGAAGGGCAGUAAGUUAAUACCUUGCUGUUUUGACGUUACCGACAGAAUAAGCACCGGCUAAACUCUGUGCCAGCCGCCGACCG